GCAGGAGGGUGGGUGACUUCCUCUAGAGUCUGCAGGAGGAGUCCCCAGACGGUCGCUGUACACUGCACAAUGGCCCGGCCAGCUCAACAGAAAGUUACAGUGUGGUGCCGGAAGUCUGAGUGAGUUUGCAAGGGGUAACAGACACUGGAGGACUGCAGAAUGGCUGUUGGGGUUCCCUGGACACACUCUUCUCACCCUCACCCCGGUCCUACUGAGGUCCUGCACUACCCCUCUGCCCCUGUCUCUGCUUUGCAAACUCCUCUUUGUCUUUAAAACCUCAGGUCCCCUUGGAGACUCUGUGUUCUAUGCCUUCUGCAGUCACCUUGGCCGUAGCCUUCAAUGACAAGUGUCCCUCUUACUGCUGUGGACCCCUCCUGCUCGGGACUUGCUGACUGCCCAUCAGCCUGAGAAGUCCACAGUGCCUUUGCCGAGUGUCCGGAGCCCCCAGGAAAG
rnacentral:lncRNA from 1 species